rnacentral:rRNA from 1 species
CAGGACGAACGCUGGCGGCGCGCCUAACACAUGCAAGUCGAACGGAGCUGUUUCUCUGAAGUUUCGGAUGGAAGAGAGUCAGCUAGUGGCGAACGGGUGAGUAACACGUGAGCAACCUGCCUUUCAGUGGGGGACAACAUUUGGAAACGAAUGCUAAUACCGCAUAAGACCACAGUGUCGCAUGGCACAGGGGUCAAAGGAUUUAUCCGCUGAAAGAUGGGCUCGCGUCCGAUUAGCUAGAUGGUGAGGUAACGGCCCACCAUGGCGACGAUCGGUAGCCGGACUGAGAGGUUGAACGGCCACAUUGGGACUGAGACACGGCCCAGACUCCUACGGGAGGCAGCAGUGGGGAAUAUUGCACAAUGGGGGAAACCCUGAUGCAGCGACGCCGCAUGGAGGAAGAAGGUCUUCGGAUUGUAAACUCCUGUCCCAGGGGACGAUAAUGACGGUACCCUGGGAGGAAGCACCGGCUAACUACGUGCCAGCAGCCGC